CCAAUAGCGUAUAUUAAAGUUGCUGCAGUUAAAAAGCUCGUAGUUGAAUUUCGGGACCAAUAUGUCGGUCGUGCCUCGGUACGUACUGGCAUCGUUGGUCUCUCCUUUCUGAAGAACCAUGAUGUCAUUUAUUUGGUGUCGUGGGAAAUCAGGACUGUUACUUUGAAAAAAUUAGAGUGUUUAAAGCAGGCUCACGCUUGAAUACAUUAGCAUGGAAUAAUGAAAUAGGACGUUUGAUUCUAUUUUGUUGGUUUCUAGGAUUGACGUAAUGAUUAAUAGGGAUAGUUGGGGGCAUUAGUAUUCAAUUGUCAGAGGUGAAAUUCUUGGAUUUAUUGAAGACUAACUACUGCGAAAGCAUUUGCCAAGGAUGUUUUCAUUAAUCAAGAACGAAAGUUAGGGGAUCGAAGACGAUCAGAUACCGUCGUAGUCUUAACCAUAAACUAUGCCGACUAGGGAUCGGAUGAUGUUAAUUUUUUAAUGACUCAUUCGGCGCCUUACG
rnacentral:rRNA from 1 species